rnacentral:lncRNA from 1 species
AUCCUAAAUAUUAUCAUUUCAAGAUGUAACCAAAAUAAAAAAUAUUGAGAUAGUUUGCAUUUUUUUCAUAUAAGUACUCAAAAUCUGGUGUAUAUAUUACACAUUUCAACAUAUCUUGGUUCAGACUAGCGACAUUUGGAGGGUUCAACAGCACGUGUAGCUGGUGGCUACCAUACAGGACAGUGCAGCCAAGCAUACUUGACCUUGGUGACUCCGGAGUCCAGGUCACAGGAGGGUGGAACAGGGGAAGGAUAUAAGAUACUGACCCAAGCAGUCCAAGCCCUCCAUUUCUAACCUGAGAACCGUGAAGAAGCUGCCUCCCGUUUCCUGCUUCCCUGCCCUCCACCUGCUCCAAUUCCUGCCCCCGCUUCAGUUCCGCCCGCCCCAUCCCCCACCUCACUCACCAGACACCAGGACAGCCAACCCCCACCUCCACCUCUCAGCCUUCCUCUCUUCCAACUCUGGCUGCCUCCUCCCCUGCCUGCCCCUUGGCUCCUCUUCCCUGUUUCUCUCCCCUCCCCAUACACCCAUCACCCUUUCCAACCUGCUCCCCUCUCUGCUUCCAAGCCUUCCUUUGACCCUGACCUGGCUCCUUCCUCUAGCUGCCUGAGCCCUGUAACUACGGGAUCCCAAAUGCCUCCUCUUCAGACCUCAACCCCAAGGACACCCGGAUCUAUCUGGUGAUUCUCGAAGCCUAGCUGGGGGCCGGCUGCCCUGCCAAUCAAGUUCCUGCUUCAGCCCAGAACUUCCAGCAAGAGGAGCCCCAGCAGCCUGUGGACAUGGGGCCAACGGAGAGCUGGUCCAAUCCACAAGCAUUUCCCUCAGGUAGGUUUCUCACCUACAGCCCCGGCCAGCUCUGCUUCUGCCUGGUUACCCUUCGUGGACCCCAAUUAACUGACCUCUCGACCUUGCUAACAGCAAGAGCAUGACCAUGAGUUGUCUAUGGCCUCUGUCCUGUCUCCAGGAAGGCAAACCCUGGGGCUCUGGCCACAGCUGGAGCAAGUGCUAGAAAGAAGUUCCAUGAAAACAUGUAAACAAGAGCCAGAACUUCUCUUCCUGGGAGACCAGAGAUCAUUUUCCCCCAUAUCUCAUCUUUGUCCCAAAAUGUACAGGACAUUAGUACGUUCCAAUCGCUACUAAACCUACACUUGCGAUUCUGACUCCUACAGGAAGAAACAGUUUCCUGUGGAGUCUGAUCAAAAUCUUGUCAAACUGUGAACUAUAACUCUUUCUCUAAUUCACGAUCCGAAUUCAAGGAUAGGUGUCUAAAAGGCAAAGAGCUGCCUAGACCACAUUUAACAAGGAUGAAAGAGUAAGAGUUCAUAAAGGAAACCUCAACCUCGAGCUGCACAUCACCAGCUGGAUGUUACCAGAAGAGGGGGGUGUCGGAGGAAAGAGGGGAAAGAACCCCCAUAAAGACUCUCCAGCUCCCCCCUCCUUCUCAAAUACACAGUGUGUCAGCCCUGGUCCUGAACUGGGCAGCAGAUCAGAAGAGUCAGGUGAGUUCAGGCCUUUGGAUGCCUUCCUCUCUUUCCAUCUGUCACCACCCUUAUGAUAUUUAGGUAAGGGGAUGUUUCACUUGAUGAAUUCUGAGUCUGUUGAGAUUUCCCAGGCCAUACAUGGAAAGACUUAUUUUCCAUUUAGACUCCUGCAGCCUAAAUGGAAAACGCCCUUAGAAGGGAGAGCAUGAGUCUGGGGGCCGUGACUGUGCUGAGUCAGGGGAGGCUUUCUGUGAGCCUCUGACUGUAAACGCACAUAAACGCACAUGCUAAGUGGGUGGGCCUGGGGCUGGAGGGGCCCAGGAGUGACCGCAGGGCUGGCCCCCAGGCAACCUAUAAUUAUCAGCAGCUACACUGCAAUAAAAAUGCAUGUGAAAGAGUGAAUGAAUGGAAGGAGAGGCAGGGCUGGGAUCAAAGGCCAGGCUACAGAACCAGGGUGGCCUGAGAGGAGACUGCUGCCACCCACACCCACUCUGGACGUCACUGCGUUCAUUACUUCAAAACCUCUGCACCUCUGGCCUCAACAGUGUUACUCCUCUCCACAAAAGGACAAACACUCUUUUCUGGAGUCUGAGGGCAGAGAACUCCCUGCCCUGGGGGGCCCAGGACAGGGGGAGGCAGGGAGAACCCAGGGGUGCUGGCUGCUCAUUUUCCAGCAUGGGAGGACCCCAGGUGCCUUACACUCCUCAGGGAGGGGCUGGGGGCAACAGUAGGCCUGAGGAAGCCAUGACUGUACCUUCAGCUGCUGGGGCCAAGGCCUAGGAAGAAAACCAGGAAGCCAAAGCAGCCUGGCCCCUCCUUGCCCUCCCCUACCUUUGGUCUGCUGGCUGCUGCAGGAUUUGUGCCCUGAGUCUUUGCGGUGCCUUUUUUAGUCACCUCCGAGGAGGGGGGUACAGGAAUCAAGCAAGGGGUGCAGCUCACACAUGACACCUUCCCAGGGAGGCAUGCACCACGUCCGACUCUAGGAUCUGACCUGUGGUCACACAGGCUGAGAAACUGUCCAUUCUGAGGGGUGAAUCUACUUCCUAAGAGCAGACACGCACUAACAAAGAGCACGGGUCAACCAGAUGCCGGGGUUUUCAGAGCAGCACAGACCUGCUGGAGGACCUCUGGGUGCCCCAGCAGAGUCCUGGGUCGGGCUCCAAACAUGGAAGCCACUUGGAAAAGAACUUCUGCCAAAGGAAGAGGGAGGUACACCAGGAGGAAAGGUCCUCCGGGGCCAUUUUCUCUUCCAGCCCACACUGCCCUCGAUUUCAGGGCAUGAGGAAGGGAAAACAGGUAGUAAAUAUCAAAGCGGUUCACUUGAGAACAUGAGACACCAGCACGCUUCCCAGAGCAGGGGAACCAGUGACGGCUGAGGGGAGAGAGAGCUACCAUCUCACAUCUACACAGAGCUCAGCUUGGCUUCCCCAGGGAAGGUUCCAGAAAACUCAGGACCACCUUGAGACUUCAGGUGUCAGCAGCCACGGAAGCAGUGUCGGAAAGCUGGCUGGAGUGUGCAGGAGGUGGUGGACUGGGGAGUAGUCUAGAUCUUUGAGGGGCCUCCUCCUCUGCACAGGUGCUGCUCAAGUUCUGUCCUGGGCCCAGCAUGUCUAGGACUUGAACGUGAAUGUGACUCCCAUGCGUACGGACAACUUUCUGGUGGUUUGGGCCCAGCUUCAGGCCCAGCUAGCCCAAUGCCUCCUGUGUAUCACCUCUUGGAUGUCCCUUAGGAACCUCAAGUUCAAAGUGUCCCAAAUGUCUGAUCUGC